rnacentral:siRNA from 1 species
GAGUCCAAGGCGGAUCGAGACAAC